GGAUGACUCUCGGCAACGGAUAUCUUGGUCCUCGCAUCGAUGAAGAACGUAGCGAAAUGCGAUACUUGGUGUGAAUUGCAGAAUCCCGUGAACCAUCGAGUUUUUGAACGCAAGUUGCGCCCUAAGCUUCCGGGCCGAGGGCAAGCCUGCGUGGGCGUCAAGU
rnacentral:rRNA from 1 species